AUGGGAAUGUUGUUUGAACUGAACAGAAUGCGAUAUCCGGCCACAUGCGGCCGUCCUAUGAGUCCCCCUGCGGUGUUAUGCAAGCUUCAUAAAAGAACAAAUUUGUUAUCCUCCACCCGAGGGCAUCUGUUGAUGGAUACGUCCUCCCAGGGGUCGAGAGGAAGUAACCAUUCAACAACCGCUGCUUAUCUCGCUUUACUUGCUUUAAGUGUUCCUCACUUAAGAUAUGACAGACUGAAGUGCUCCACUUGGAAGUAUGCACUUCCAGCAAUGGUGUCCUCUUUACAAGUGAACUAAAGACUCAAGUGCACAUCUUUUGUGAGUGUAAAGCCAGAGUUUGCCAGCAGCAUCUUAAAGUUCUGCCUGUGGAUUGUGGAGUGAAGAUGUCAUUGUGUUUUCAGAGCCGUAGCCACAUAGUUGCAAGAUUUGCCAGCAGGGUUGUGAAUGAAUCAUUUUGGCAUUGAUGACUACAUUCUAAGGGAGUUUUGUCCCUACAUGAAAAUACAUAAAUCUAAUUUUAACAUAAACUGAUCUCUAAACCUCCUGCCUAACUUAAAAAAAUAAAAUAAAAUAAAACACUUUAUGUUUGUAUUGCCACAGGCAGACAAUGAGUAGAAUGUUUUCUCAAAGAUACAUAGAACAAAAAUGAUUGUUACUGUAUAUCUGAAUAUAGAGUUAAUUAUUUGAAUUCAUACAUGUGUUAUAUACAUAUCAUAGGCCUAUACCAUAUUAAGAGUAAGUCGAACACCUUACACAGAAAAUAAUGACUUCAAAACAAACAAUGAAAUCUACCAAAUAAUAAAACCAAUUAACCUUAGUAGUAAUUAAUUUUUUUUGUUUUGUUUAAAAUGACACAAAAAAACUUUUUAUUUCUAAAAAAAAAAAAAACAUUUUAUUUCUGAAACGCUUUAGCUGGACAUUCAUCUUAUUAUAAAUGUUACUAGUUUUUUUCAGAAUGUUCAGAGAAAGCUCUAAACUAACAUUCCCUUGAUAUUUGCAAAAUAAUAAAUUGGAAUGUUGCAUUAAAGAGAUAGUUAAAAAUUCUGUCAUUAAUUACUAACCCUCAUGUCGUUACAAACCUGUAAGACUUUCGUUCAUCUUCAAAACACAAAUUAAGAUAUUUUUUUAAGAAAUCCAAGAGAUUUCUGACCCUGCAUAGACAGCAACGUAACUAUCACAUUCAAGAAAGGUAGUAAGGGCAUUGUUAAAAUAGUCCAUGUGAUAUCAGUGGUUCAGCCGUAAUUUUAUAAAGAUACAAGAAUACUUUUUGAGUGCAAACAAAAAAAGCAACUUUUUUGGGUGAACUAUCCCUUUAAUGUUUGUAAAAACAAAAAAAAUUAAAAAAAAAAAAAAAAUAAUAAAUAUUUUUUUUUAAAUAAAUUAAUGGGAACCUAAGCAAACUGUUAUUUGGAUAUAUUUCUGGGAUCAUUUUUCUUAGUAGUCUCUUAAUAAAGUUUAUUAAAGGAUAGGUAGAGUUGUUUCAGACGUAUAGAAUUUUGUCCCAAAUCAGUUGAGUAAAUUAUCCAAGACUCACUUCCCAAAAAUUCACUUGUCGCCACCUACUGGCGUAAUGAUGCAAACCAUUUUUGAAUUAAGCUUUUGGGUGAAUUGAUUCAAAAGAGUCUAGUCACUGAGAUAAUUUUAUGAAUGAUACAAGGCAUAUUUGCUAAAUAGAAAAUGGAAAUUAUAAAUGGGCUUGACACACAAUUUUUAUACAUCAAAAGUGUUAGGAUAAAGAUACAGAUAAUGGCUUUGCUGCAAACCACCUAUCUAUCUAUCUAUCUAUCUAUAUAUAUAUAUAUAUAUAUAUAUAUAUAUAUAUAUAUAUAUAUAUAUAUAUAUAUAU
ensembl:lncRNA